rnacentral:rRNA from 1 species
UUACUAGAUGUGUUAUAUAUAAAAGAUCACGAAAGGUAGUGAGUUAAAUAUGAUUAAUAAUAGUUAUUAUUUGUUACGUAGUAUAGUAACAUGAUAGUUUUAUUUUGUAGUGAUAGGCCUACCAAGCUAUUUGAUAACUUGUUGUGUAAGAAAUAUAUUUAGUAUUUAAACAUACUACUAAAGUCAAGCUUUGUAGUUAAUAUAAAUGGUAAAAAUAAACUGAAGCUAUAGUUUAAUAGCUAAGCUGCAAACAGUUUAAACAUAAAUAAUGUGGGAAUUAUUUUUAUUAUUGCACUAUACAAUUUUAUUUUUAGUAUAAAUAAUGUAAAUAUGAGUAAUAAGUUUUAAAUGUAGCAAAGGAACUCGGCAAAAUAGCCGCUCAACUGUUUAUCAAAAACGUAACUAUAUGAGAUAAUAUAUAGCUUUUCUGCUCAAUGAUAUGUUAAAUAGCCGCAGUACUCUGACUGUGCAAAGGUAGCAUAAUCAAUUGGCUUUUAAUUAAAGUCUGGGAUGAAAGAAAGCAUGGGUGGCAACUGUCUUACUGUUACAUUAAAUUGAAGUUAAUAAGCAAGUGAAAAUACUUGCAACUUAAAAAAGACGAGAAGACCCUAGAAACUUGUAUAAUUAUUUUGUUGGGGCGACAGAAUUACAAAUAACUAAUUUUAUUGUACAUGACGUUAUCAGGUAGAUUAAGUUACUCUAGGGAUAACAGCAUAAUUUUUAUAGUUUGUGACCUCGAUGUUGGACUAGGUAAAUAAUUUUUUAGAAGAAAGUUUAAACGCUCUGUUCGAGCAGUGGAACCUACAUGAUCUGAGUU